GCCCCCGUAGCGCAAUUGGCAGAGGCAGCACGCUCAAACCGUGCAAUGGUGCUGGUUCGAAUCCAGCCGGGGGCA
rnacentral:tRNA from 1 species